AUUGAACGCUGGCGGCAUGCCUUACACAUGCAAGUCGAACGGCAGCGGGCCCUUCGGGGUGCCGGCGAGUGGCGAACGGGUGAGUAAUGCAUCGGACCGUACCCGGGAGAGGGGGAUAACCGGCCGAAAGGCUGGCUAAUACCGCAUGAACUCGGAAGAGCAAAGCGGGGGACCUUCGGGCCUCGCGCUCUCGGAGCGGCCGAUGUCCGAUUAGGCUAGUUGGUGGGGUAAAGGCCCACCAAGGCGACGAUCGGUAGCGGGUCUGAGAGGACGAUCCGCCACACUGGGACUGAGACACGGCCCAGACUCCUACGGGAGGCAGCAGUGGGGAAUCUUGGACAAUGGGCGCAAGCCUGAUCCAGCAAUGCCGCGUGGGUGAAGAAGGCCUUCGGGUUGUAAAGCCCUUUCGGCGGGGAAGAAAUCGGUCAGGCGAAUAGUCUGGCCGGAUGACGGUACCCGCAGAAGAAGCACCGGCUAACUACGUG
rnacentral:rRNA from 1 species